rnacentral:hammerhead_ribozyme from 1 species
GCACUCCUGACGAGUCCCAAACAGGACGGGACAGCUGUCCAGUGC